GGUGAGCGGCAUACGACAGGCUCCUUCUGAACUCCCCCAGGGCGGAAACGCAGCAAGGGUAGGAGGUUGAGCGGUCGGUAUGUUGUCUCACCUUAUU
rnacentral:SRP_RNA from 1 species